AUUGAGGCUCCUAAUCUUUAAAGGUACUUUUAAUGAUUCCCCAGGUGGCGCACACAAACAACUAGAAUGUCCUGAGUUUCUGAUCUCAGGAGAGUUGGAUGUUGUGUAAUUCUGCUUCUUCCGACUUUUCCCCUGACUUUGGUAUUAAAUAAGCAAACAAUGACAACAACCCAAACCUACAGUAUAAUUAGGAUCUAGCAAAUGAGUUGUCAAAAGAAAACUGCCUGUUCUUCCCAGGAGGCUUGGUGCCAGUCUGUUUGCUUUGGAGGAUUUAAACAGCUCUUCCCUGCAGAGCAAUAAAUGCAAACCCCAAAUUUGCUGCACAGAUGUGGUUUUUACUAAGGCGAUUUUUUUUUCAUUUUCCUUUUCAACCUAAAAUAGGAGCUCUUUGACAUGUAAUACAGAGGCCAACAUCUUUUAUCAUCCUUCAUUUACAAAGCAAUCAGACACAGGUUUGUGGUGUCAGAGCCAUUGUAAUGAGGUCUCCAGGAGCCUCUAUUCCCCUCACUGGUUUUCUGACAUCCGGGCCCUCCACCCUGCUAGGAGUUUUGUUUACCAGGAUCAAAUCUGCAUGCUCUACUCCUUCUCUUCUCUCCUUUUGCUCCUCAUAUCAACUUAGGUAUUUCCCAAAGUUCAGCAAAUAGUGGGGAAAUUUUUAUUAAUGUGAUUUGAGCGAUGAUUAGCUAAUUCUUUCUCGUUCAUGCUGUCUAAUCAGUAGCCAAGCAGAGCACUGCAGCACAUCCUUUGUGUUUAUUAAAGGGGCCCUACCUUGAUGUCAUGAAGUUUCUUGGGUAACAGUCUUCCAGAUGUGCACCAGCAACACACCUGGGCCAGAAGGAAAGUGCCAUCUGUGGGGCUCAGAGCACCUCCGGAUGCUGGCCAUUCUGGGGUCUGGACAAGUUGACCUGUCCUCACACGAUGUCUGAGCUAUGGUGUAGGAAAUUUUCUAAGUGUUCAUCAGCCCCAGCCACAUCUCCUCAUGAUCAUAUAUUUGAACAGAGAUUGCAGUACCAUCGAAAAGAUGGGGCAGGAGACAGACAGAUGAUUCAUUGCCCAUUCAAUCAAGAGGGCACAUGUUCAGGGAUGGGGUUGGGAACUGAGGGAAGCCAGCUCCCACUGAGCUGCCCCAGGUAUGUGGAGGCACUUUGGUCAUUCUCUGGCUCAGUGUUUCCAGAUUAGAGCAUCUCAAGACAUGGAAUGGCUCGGGCCUCUCUCAGCCUGGAGAAUUCAGACUGCCUUAGGGACCUGAGGCUCUUUUUAAACCAGCUCCAAUCUGCUCCACAUUUGCCAGCCACAGGCAAUGUGCCCCAAGCAGAGGAACAACUGGGCCAAGGCCUUGAGGCCUGAGUGCACCAACAGGAACAGAUUAAAGCAUACAGACUACCAAGAGCAGGAGCGAGGAAGGCAUCAGAGGGGGUGAAAGAGAAACCUGGGUGGAAAGGAUAAGGGUCUCU
rnacentral:lncRNA from 1 species